GGAAAUGCCAGAGUAAUCCUCUUGUGGGUUUUUAUCAUUCAAAUAUAUUCCAACCAAUGAGGCACUUGUCUUGGCUCUCUGAGAUUUGUUCGGUGCAUCAACUUGUGGGCAGUUUCACUCUCUGAGGGACAUUUUAGACUGCAGGGCAAGACCUUUAUGAACCUGAUAGAUUUCAUUAACAGCGGUGAGUGUUGACGGCGCUGCAGCAGCGAUGGAAUUAC